UACGGGAGGCAGCAGUGGGGAAUAUUGCACAAUGGGCGCAAGCCUGAUGCAGCCAUGCCGCGUGUAUGAAAAAGGCCUUCGGGUUGUAAAGUACUUUCAGUCGUGAGGAAGGUGUUAAGGUUAAUAACCUUAGCAAUUGACGUUAGCGACAGAAGAAGCACCGGCUAACUCCGUGCCAGCAGCCGCGGUAAUACGGAGGGUGCGAGCGUUAAUCGGAAUUACUGGGCGUAAAGGGCACGCAGGCGGUUAAUUAAGUUGGAUGUGAAAUCCCCGGGCUUAACCUGGGAAUGGCAUUCAAGACUGGUUAGCUAGAGUCUUGUAGAGGGGGUAGAAUUCCAUGUGUAGCGGUGAAAUGCGUAGAGAUGUGGAGGAAUACCGGUGGCGAAGGCGGCCCCUGGACAAAGACUGACGCUCAUGUGCGAAAGCGUGGGAGCAAACAGGGAUUAGAUACC
rnacentral:rRNA from 1 species